CUUCUGCCACCGAUGGUGUCAGUGAGGCCACAGCCCCAGGGCUGCCAGCCCCUGGCACAGCUGGAGAUGGGCUGCACCGAGAGAUCACUGUCACCCAUCAACAUGUCACCCAUCUUCUCCCUGUUGCCACUGUGUCAGCUCUGGGCACGCCAGCCACAGCCAUGGAUGUCACCACUGCACCGCAUGUAUCCACUGCGCCAUUUCCAGCCCUGGGCAGUGCUGAGACGGUGUCCAUCACUGCUGAAGCCACCUCAGCCACUGCUGUCCUGCAGACUGAGGGCACCCCAAUGGGGCUGAGCAUGGGGACGGUCCCAAGUGCAGUCCCAGCUACGUCACUCCCAGAUGGCCUCCCUGGAGGAGGGUACCGCACCAGGACCCAGGCAGUGACAGUUACACCCUCUACCCACCCCGAUGGCAGCACCUCAGGAUGGGCAGGAAGGACAGUGACACCACGGUUUGGCUCUGACUCAUAUGGACCAGCCACAGGCACGCUGUCAGCAUCUCCACAUGUACCUCUGGAGAAGGAGACGAGUGCCCCAAUGCCACUGGGCAGCAGCACCACUCCCAUAGAGUCUGUGAGGUCACCCAGAGCUCUGCAGAGCACCACUGGGCAGCCCAUGUUGGGAGCAGCUGUGCCUCUACAGGAAGGGAUUGUGGACAAGGAACAUAUGGAUGCCACCAGCAUGCUGACAGGAGAUGUCCCAGCACCCACUGGAGGUUUGUCACCACCAGUGACACUCAUUCCUGCAGCUCCUUUGGUGCUGGGAACAGAAGCACCUUCCUCAGCCACCAGCACAGCGAAUGAUGACAAUGGGUUGGGGCAGCCUCACAGUGCUGUCACUGCGGAGGGGACACCGGGGACAGCACAGGCCACGGUGCUGUCUGAUGUCCAACACAGCACAGGGACACCACCCCACUCCCUCACCUGGAUCCCAGCUGAGCUGCACACAGCCGCUGUGCGCCUGUCCCAGGAGGUAAUGCCAGGGCUGGCCGAGGCCACCUCUCCUCUUGUCACAGCAGCCAGUGUCACUGCGGGGGACACAGAGCCUGCGUCAACCAUGUCUGACCGUGACACAUCUCCCACCGUGCCAGCAACCACAGGGUCUCCCCAUCAUGAUGGAGUACAGAAGUCAGAUACCAUGAUCCUUCCAGGCAGUGUCUCAGCAACAAUCACCCCUUCUCCUGCCACCGAUGGUGUCAGUGAGGCCACAGCCCCAGGGCUGCCAGCCCCUGGCUCAGCUGGAGAUGGGCUGCACCGAGAGAUCACUGUCACCCAUCCACAUGUCACCCAUCU
ensembl:lncRNA